rnacentral:rRNA from 1 species
AUGAAGGCCAACUGGAUCGUCCUCAUCCACCACUCCGGUAGUCCGUGGAGUCUCGUGGAUAUCUACACCCAGCGAGAGAUCACCCUUCCAUCGUUGGAUUCCACCUCCAUUGAGCCUCACGGCCCGCCUGACACUCCUGCCUACUACGCACGAGACGCGUCAAGCUUUUGGCUCGACCUCUUACCAUAUAACUGGAAUUAUGGAUGCAAGUCGAAGAAGGAUUGGCUGGUGCUGCCGUCUGGCGUCAAGUUCGAUCCCACGGAUCAGGAGCUGAUCGAGCACCUUGAGGCCAAAGUGAGUGCUGACAGCGCGAGAUUUCAGUCUCUCAUCGAUUUGUUCAUACCAACCAUCGACAGCGAGCACGGCAUAUGCUACACCCAACCUGAGAAACUUCCAAGUAUCACACUGAGUGGCCUAAGGAAGCAUUUCUUCCAGCGCAAUUCCAGGGCGUUCAAAAGGGGCACGUGGACGCGUCGCAAGAUACAUUCGGAUUGCGGCAUGCACGCGAUGUGGCACAAGACCGGCAAUACCUUGCCGGUGAUGGUCAACGACCGGCAGACGGGCAGCAAAAAAGGUUCUCGUGCUGCACACCAACAAGAACUUCGACCAGGAGAGGACCAACUGGGUGAUGCACCAGUACCACCUCAGGGACCUGGAGCAAGAGAAGGAGUGGGAGCUGGUCCUCUGCAAGAGUUUCUACCAGACGAACACUAG